CACGUAGGGUGCAAGCGUUGUCCGGAAUUAUUGGGCGUAAAGAGCUCGUAGGCGGCCUGUCGCGUCGGAUGUGAAAACUCGGGGCUUAACCCCGAGCCUGCAUUCGAUACGGGCAGGCUAGAGUUCGGCAGGGGAGACUGGAAUUCCUGGUGUAGCGGUGAAAUGCGCAGAUAUCAGGAGGAACACCAAUGGCGAAGGCAGCUCGCUGGGACGGUACUGACGCUGAGACGCGAAAGCGUGGGGAGCAAACAGG
rnacentral:rRNA from 1 species